AAAGGAGCAGAGAGAAAGAAGGGCUAAAGGAAGAUACCACAUUGUCGCUAGCUCAUCUUCCAGAGUGUGCGCAGCGGGCAACUUUAGGGAAUCCUAGCAUCUCUACCAUUCUCUGGUGAACAGCCCAGACACAAUGGUGAAGGUCUGAGAGGACGGAUGCAGGGGAGACCCCAGGAUUUUGCCAGGGCUCUGCAAGUUGGAGUCUGAUUGAGUUGGGCUGUGCUCACGCACACACUGAUGACACUAUGGACAAGGAUGGAGAGGAGGCAAAGCGUUAUACUUCAACCCUCCCCCCCCGCCUGCCACAAACCUCUCUUCACGGCAUUCACAGACCCAUGUUCUGUAGCACCUGCUGGGGACUCAGCAGAGGGAAGAGCCUGUCCAGGUCUCUUACAUCUACACUAGGACCCUGGUCUCUGUAACACUGCUGUUUUUAUAUUUUAUAGUUUCAGUCCCUGUACUUUCAGGUCUUCAGCUUAUUUCUUUCUCCUGCAAAGCAUGGUCUAGUUCCUGUGGGAAGAAAGUUGUUCUGAAGCAAUAAACAAUAACAAGC